AACGAACGCUGGCGGCAUGCCUAACACAUGCAAGUCGAACGGGAUCCGGACUUCGGUUCGGUGAGAGUGGCGGACGGGUGAGUAACGCGUGGGAACCUGCCCAGUGGUGGGGGAUAACUGCGGGAAACUGCAGCUAAUACCGCAUGAGCCCGAGAGGGGAAAGAUUUAUCGCCAUUGGAGGGGCCCGCGUUCGAUUAGGUAGUUGGUGAGGGAAUUGCUCACCAAGCCGACGAUCGAUAGCUGGUCUGAGAGGAUGAUCAGCCACACUGGGACUGAGAUACGGCCCAGACUCCUACGGGAGGCAGCAGUGGGGAAUAUUGGACAAUGGGGGCAACCCUGAUCCAGCAAUGCCGCGUGAGUGAUGAAGGCCUUCGGGUUGUAAAGCUCUUUUGCCAGGGACGAUGAUGACGGUACCUGGAGAAUAAGCCCCGGCUAACUUCGUGCCAGCAGCCGCCGUAACAC
rnacentral:rRNA from 1 species